GGUUAAUGGCCGGCGGGGGCGACCCUAGGGAAAGUGCCACAGAAAGCAAACCGCCACGGUUUUACCGUGGUAAGGGUGAAAGGGUGGGGUAAGAGCCCACCGCGCGACUGGCAACAGGAGCGGCACGGUAAACCCCACCGGGAGCAAGACCGAAUAGGGACGGUGCGAGGGGAAACCCUCGAGGGCUGUUUCCGGCUCACCGUCCGGGUAGGUUGCGUGAGGUGCAUGGCAACAUGCGCCCAAGAUGAAUGGCCGCCACGUUCUCGCGCCGCAAGGGGCGAGGGCCAUACAGAACCCGGCUUACAGGCCAGCUGGCAAU
rnacentral:RNase_P_RNA from 1 species